AGGAGUUUUGCAUUCGGUUACUUUGUCUUUUUAAUCUCUUUUGUUCCCGGGUUGGGUAACGCCAUAUUGAGUGAUGGAUUUGAGAACUGCAGGCUUGCACAAUCCCAGUUUUGUAAUCUACCACAAACUGAUCUCAUUUUCAGGUGCUCGGUAUUUUGAUGUGCCAAUUAACUAGGGAUCAGUUGCUAUGACAUAAUGUACUUGUUCCGGAGCUUGAAUAAGACGGCUUCUAUCCAAGAAACAGUUACUCUUCCUGGAUUUGUACAGAUCAGAGAAAUGGAUCUGCACCACCCACAAAACUCGUCUGCCGCAAAGUACAUAAAAACGAAGUGGCAUUCAAUUAGGUGAGAGGAAAAAUUACAGAGGGACAGACAGAAACGGAUGUUCCAGCGAUAUUUCAACAGAACGACACUAGAAGGGACACGUCCAUUUGAUUUCCGUUUUAACUCCGCGCCUCCCAAGGACUUUCCAGCCUCUCUCUCGCCGUUCAUUGUGGCUACAGAUCUUCAUCUGCCCUGGUCUGCCAACUGACAUUUAAAUCACGCUGCAGACAAUGAAUCGAUACUUAUGGAUUCCUGGCCCUGGGCUUUUGCCCACCGAGUUGUUACGGGAGGCUGUCUCUCCCGCGGGCAGGGCCAGCAGGCCCA